rnacentral:rRNA from 1 species
UCCUCUACGGGGCGCAGCAGUGAGGAAUAUUGGUCAAUGGCCGCAAGCCUGACCCAGCGACGCCGCGUGAGGGAAGACGGUCUUCGGAUUGUAAACCUCUUUCAGCAGGGAAGACAAAAGGACGGUACCUGCAGAAGAAGCCACGGCUAACUACGUGCCAGCAGCCGCGGUAAUACGUAGGUGGCAAGCGUUAUCCGGAAUUAAUGGGUGUAAAGGGUGUGUAGGCGGGGCUGCA